UACGGGGGGGGCAAGCGUUGUUCGGAAUUACUGGGCGUAAAGGGCUCGUAGGCGGCCAACUAAGUCAAACGUGAAAUCCCUCGGCUUAACCGGGGAACUGCGCUUGAUACUGGAUGGCUUGAGAUUGGGAGAGGGAUGCGGAAUUCCAGGUGUAGCGGUGAAAUGCGUAGAUAUCUGGAGGAACACCGGUGGCGAAGGCGGAUCUCUGGGCCGAUACUGACGCUGAGGAGCGAAAGCGUGGGGAGCGAACAGG
rnacentral:rRNA from 1 species